AUGAUUAUGCAUCUUUUUAUUAUUUGAGUAAAGUAUAAACGCGAGUAGAAACACUUAGCUGGAUAAUUGGGGGUGCUCUCCCCCAAGCUAGAUUUUGACGUAAUUUCUUCUAAUGUAGCUAGCAGGUGGCAGAGGUGUAUUUGAAUGUCGGCAGCACCCUGAUAGUGAUUAGGAUGUCCUCCGUCUGCUAGUCUUCUUUGAUCCUUGAAUUCUGUGGAGCUCAAAUAGACAACAAAGCUUUGUGGAACUAGCAUAAAUAUCUAGCAUUUAUCAUGUUGAGCCUCCUCAAUAAAUGUUCCUCUUUUUAGUAUGAUCAUAAAUUUAUUUUUAUAUUUUCAUUUUUAUAGCACAUAAAUAUAUUUAUUUUAUUUUUAUGCCACCACAGUGAAUGUACUUAUGGGUUUUAUGCCAUGAGCAUACUCACAUGGGGCUUACUAUUUUUAACAUUUUUAUUUUCUUUUCAAGAUGAUAUGAACCUGAUUAACUAAGCAAACUAUUUUAAAUAAUUGAAAGAAAAAGGAUAACUACCAAUUUUACCUCUUGGCAAGGCGUUCGGUGUUUUUAAGUCCUCCGAACGGGACUCUCCGUUUUCUCAGUCGUCCUGGGAUUCGCUGGAUGGCGUAGUCGGUGGUUCCGGCGGCGCCUCCUUUUCGUGUAUAACUAUCUUCUCUCUCCACACCUAACUCGGUGCUACGGUCUCCUCAGGAUAAUUCUGUUCAAGUUGUAUGUCUUCAGACCUUAUCACUUCUCCUUCAUAGUCUGCCCAUCCGUCCUUGAUGAUUUGCCUCCUCUGGUUGCGGUUGCGUCGUCUUCUUCUUGUCCUGACCUGCUUAGAGUCUUCAACUAUAUAGUUAGGGUCAGUAAAAUAGCGGUGUACCUUCUCAGAGGGGAAGUGCAUGUGGACUUCUCCAGUUCCAAUGUAGAUGAUUGCUUUAACGGUGCUGAGGAACAGUCUCCCAAGGAUGAUGGGUGGAUCGUACUCGUCUUCUCCCAUGUCAGUAACCUAAAUGAUCAUCUAUUUUGACAGGGACAUCAGUUACUAUACCUUCAACCUUUCAGAAUCUUCUUCCCCUUGAUGUAGAAACUGAUCUUGGCAGCACUAGCAUAGAUGACAGCUUCCGAGGUCUUCAAGAAUGGCCUCCCUAGGAUGAUGGGUGCCCUCUCAUCAGUAUCAGUCUCUAUCACCACGAAGUCUGCUGGAGCGUAUAAGGUACCAACUCGGACGUAGAGGUUCUUCAAUAUUCCCUUUGGGAAACUUAGCGUACGAUAUGCAAGCUGCAAACACAUGGCUGUUUCUAAUAAAGGAUGUGUAAAGAAUUUUUCAUAGAGUACCCUGGGU
rnacentral:lncRNA from 1 species